UAUUGUCAUAUCAUACUUGAUGGUGCUUUGUGAUGCUGCUACUGAAAUUAUUUAUAAUCAAUAAAUUUUUAUAUAUGUGUUAGACCUAGCUAGCAGAUGAUCACAUCAUCACAAGUUAGAUAUUACAGUGUUCGUUUCUCUACUUUUUGCAGAGUGGUACCGGCUAUCUGAACUUUCUCUUGGAACUGAUUACUGGAAGAUUGAAGUUGAUCAAACAAGGAGAUUCUUAAUUUUUGACUUGGAUUCCGUACAAAGGGCAAAACACAAAUACUAGGUUGUUUGAGAGAGGUGACUCAGGCUAUUAGCGGGUUUUCAUUUCAUCCAAGGUCAGAGAUUCAUCAGAUAUAGAGACAUGAUGGGACAUCUAUUUGGGAAGAAAAUGUACUUUGUAACAUGGUUUCUCCAAUUUUUAACCUUCAUUUUGGUAAAUAUUGGUUUCAUCCUUCUCGGAGGCAGAGCACUGAAGGAGAUAAAUCUGGUGUUCAGUGACACAUCCAUGAGGCUCCAGUAUUUCAUCAUUAUCACAGGAGUAGUAUACUGCAUAUUUGAUAUUGUUGUCCCAAGCAUGUCUGCCAUGAGAGUGUGGAUAGGAGCUUCGGCCAUUCUCACCUUCGGUUUUAUUGGAGUCCUUCUCGUGGUAUCAGCAAAAGGUUGCUCAUUUGUUAUUACCGCCUUUUCCAAGAUUACUCUGUUCUUCUGAUGGUUACAGAAAGAAAUAGAUGUCUUAGAUUGGAGUAGAAGCCAUGGUUGAUACUCUUCACAAGUAGGCGCAUGGUCCUUUGUUCUCAAUGACAUUGAGAUUCUUGAUAAGUGUACACAAGGAGUUCUGUCUUCGUCAAGGAGUACCCUCACCCAUCUCGGACCUGACUGAAAAGGUUGCUUCUUGUGGACAAAGAUGCUCCAGCAACACCCCAAUCCGUGAGAUAUGAUGUGGUGCCGAUUUCGGAUAUGUGUAAAGUGAUUUCUGCAAAUAGUUCAACACUCAUAGUGGCUGCAACAGAGAGGAGCUAGAGAUGUGCUGAAUGAAACCACAGAAGCUCAUCUCCUCAAGAAGAGACCGCUGAACACACACUGGCAGCUAGCAUCACCUGCGUAGAGAUGUGGCUGGAACAACUGCUAUUAAAACAGUCGAGCUAGAUGCAGCUCUUGGAGGGAAGGUUGUGCAGCAUAGGGAGCUCCAGGGUUUUGAAUCUGACAAAUUUUUGUCGUACUUUAAACCAUGCAUCUUACCUUUAGAGGGUGGAGUUGAAUCUAGAGUUUUGUCGUACUUUGGUCUGCAGAGUUCUUUUUCGAAUUAUUGAAAAUCAAGUGCGCUUGAGCAAGAAGAAUUUCAGGGAAUAUAUUCCGUGGUGCAAGCUGAAGUGCUGCUCCUACUGAUGUGCAGCUGGCUCAUUCAAGAACACCACAUACUGAUUUUCUUUGCUUUAUUACUGAACCAGUACGAAGAAGGGGAAGGGUAUUGUUGCAAUUUUUUUAUUUUUUUCCAUUUCCAUUUUGUAAACGCAUAAAAGUAACUUGUAAAAGAUACAUUAUUUUUUAAUAUACUUAAUACUUGUUUAUGCGAAAAAAAAGAAAAAAAAAUUAAAAAAAGGUGGAAUAGAGGACGGUUAUCUAAGACAAUUGUCCUCUAUGUUUAUGUAAAAAAGAAGAAUAUAGUACGCCUAUCUAAGCAAGAUGUCCUCUAUUUUAUUAAAUAGAUAACAUUUAAGUGUCCCAACCGUUCUCUAUUCCUUCUUAAUUUUCUGAUUUAAGGAAGGGAAUAGAUGACGGUUAGAGGAGACCACCGUCCUCUAUUCACAUGUAUAUAGAACGCCUAUCCCAAUCGUCCUCUAAACUAUAGAGAUCGCUUAGCGGGAGAACGGUCCUCAGGCGUCCUCUAAAGCCUAUUUCAACAGUUCUCUAUUCCUUUUUUGUAGUAGUGGUUA